rnacentral:lncRNA from 1 species
CAGCUGCCCAGUGUGACCUUGGAGCCACGAGGGACAGUCAGGAAGAGGCAGCUCCUCACCUUGCUGCUCCUCAUGCCAGCUGCACAGGGCUUCCUCAUUACUGCAAAGGAAUCUUUCCUCCUCCAUGAAGACGCCCCAUCAGACAUUCACUGCGCAUCCGAAUUUGCUUGAAGUUUGGUGCUUAGUGGUAUACGAGAGGCUGAGAAACGCAAAGAAACAGUGCAUUGAGCAUAAGAUGCUGCAUUCGUGGAGAAUUACAACUCUUCCAGAGAGAGCCCAGCUGCCUGGACGCUCUACAGCAAACCAGCUAAAAAAUGCACUCUUACAGGCUGGAAAAGAUUGCGUGACCUAAUGGGGUUGGACAAGAGCUACAAAGUCAUCUUGAAAUGUUUUUGGCAUCUACUUUUGCCCGCAUAUCUCCUCUUCUUCUGUCUUUGGGGAUGUGAUCAAUUCCUUCCUCAGUCAGAGCCUUCAGGACAGCCAGGAGACCUCGGGACGAGCUGCGCUCGUGGUGUAAGAGCACAGCACAGCGCAAAUGAAAACCUACUUGAACACAAUUAAAUCUACACGGCAAGCAGCAAUAGGAGGGCAGCUGCCCACGUGUUUUCACAGGGAUGGCAUCGCUCUCUGGGUGUGCAGCAAGGUGCAAGACACUGGGAGAAAAUGAUGGGAUGGAUAUUUCUUCCUCAUCUCCUUGGGCCCGUGCUGCAGUACUGAUGGGUAAACACUGCCUGUGAGCCUGUCUUGUUUUUUAUUCAG